rnacentral:rRNA from 1 species
UUUAAUUCGAAGAUACGCGAAGAACCUUACCUGGGCUUGAUAUCCUAAGAACCUUUUAGAGAUAAGAGGGUGCUAGCUUGCUAGAACUUAGAGACAGGUGCUGCACGGCUGUCGUCAGCUCGUGUCGUGAGAUGUUGGGUUAAGUCCCGCAACGAGCGCAACCCACGUAUUUAGUUGCUAACGGUUCGGCCGAGCACUCUAAAUAGACUGCCUUCGUAAGGAGGAGGAAGGUGUGGACGACGUCAAGUCAUCAUGGCCCUUAUGCCCAGGGCGACACACGUGCUACAAUGGCAUAUACAAUGAGACGCAAUACCGCGAGGUGGAGCAAAUCUAUAAAAUAUGUCCCAGUUCGGAUUGUUCUCUGCAACUCGAGAGCAUGAAGCCGGAAUCGCUAGUAAUCGUAGAUCAGCCAUGCUACGGUGAAUACGUUCCCGGGUCUUGUACUCACCGCCCGUCACACCAUGGGAGUUGAUUUCACUCGAAGCCGGAAUACUAAACUAGUUACCGUCCACAGUGGAAUCAGCGACUGGGGUGAAGUCGUAACAAGGUAACCGUAGGAGAACCUGCGGUUGGAUCACCUCCUUUCUA